CAUCUGUGCCAAAAAAAACCUAUUACGUUUACGUGUAGAUACUCAAAUUAAAUAUGAUUUCAGACAUAGAUAUGUCAUACGCGAAGCUAAAUCUUCCAUACAAAAAUGCUUUCACAUAACUCAACUUAUACUAGUGGAUUAACAUAAACAAUAGACAAAAGCUUGAAUCACACUAUAUACACAUAUACAUGAUCCAUUCUUUUCUCUCUUUUUCUUUUUUUGGUUCUGUCAGCUUAAACUGUGAACUGUACCAUAGGUCCAUAGUAGAUGAAGUUGAAUCAAUGCCCAAUGGUGCUCACGGACCACCCAAAGUCUAUAACCGCUAUAUUAGGUAAAACAAUUUGAUCGAACACAUAUUUCGUAUUUACAGUCUUGUGAAAUACUUCCACAUCUUGAAAUAAAAACACUCAAGGGAUGCAUAUGCAGAGUGGUUGCAUAAUGGAUCUAGCUCGCUCACCUAACAAGCAAACACGCAUGUAAUGAAUGAAUAAGAGAAAAACAAAAGAAGUUCACAGAGCAUACCAGAAACAUAUAAAUUUAUUUAUGUUUUGAAAUCUAUUGGUAUACU
rnacentral:lncRNA from 1 species